rnacentral:rRNA from 1 species
GAUGAACGCUGACAGAAUGCUUAACACAUGCAAGUCAACUUGAACUUCGGUUUGGGUGGCGGACGGGUGAGUAACGCGUAAAGAACUUGCCUCACAGUUAGGGACAACAUUUGGAAACGAAUGCUAAUACCUGAUAUUAUGAUUUUAGGGCAUCCUAGAAUUAUGAAAGCUAUAUGCGCUGUGAGAGAGCUUUGCGUCCCAUUAGCUAGUUGGAGAGGUAACGGCUCACCAAGGCGAUGAUGGGUAGCCGGCCUGAGAGGUUGAACGGCCACAAGGGGACUGAGACACGGCCCUUACUCCUACGGGAGGCAGCAGUGGGGAAUAUUGGACAAUGGGCCAAGAGUCUGAUCCAGCAAUUCUGUGUGCACGAUGAAGUUUUUCGGAAUGUAAAGUGCUUUCAGUUGGGAAGAAAAAAAUGACGAUACCAACAGAAGAAGUGACGGCUAAAUACGUG